CGCAGCACCGAGGUCAUAAGACUGUGAUUUAGUGCCCCACACUCUUGUGGCUGUUUCAAACACCAUAGUACUCUAACAUAUGUGGAGGAAGAAUAUAAUGUCGACAAUAAUUCUUAUUCUGGGGAGUUUGUAAAUUAAAAAUCAAGAUACAAAGUGCAAUAAAGAUGUCAAUGAAGAGUACUUGCCCUGGCCAUCAAGCCUCUUCAGACACACUCAUCCAGAGAAGGGAAUUUGCAUUCCAGUACGUUCCCGACAAGCUUCAUUGAUGAUGGAGAGGGGUCAGGAGGGCGUCGGUGUGGUCCUUAUGGAUUCUUCAUACCAUCCCAAGUUCUGCACUUUGAGCAGUCAUGGACCAGGUCAAGUAAGUGACGAAGAUUUUGCAAAGUCAACUUCAAGGAUCCCCUAACCUUCCCAUCUGUGACAAGAAAAUAAGCAAACAAGAGCAGGAGGAGUCCACUCAUCUCCUCCAGUCUUUCCUGCCUUUAACUAUCAUAGCUUAACUACCCCAGCCAACUAGACGUGUGCCUGUUGCCCACGACCAUCAGACAUUGAGUAAUGUCUAAACUCCACUGCUUUGUAAUAAAGACCAAUAUGCCAUUUGUCUCAACUGCUUACUGCAUGUAUCUGCUAACCUCUUAUAAUCCAUGAACAUCAUUCAUCUACAGCCCCUCUCCCGCUAGUUAAUAACCUAGCUUUUGUCUCCUCUUAGUGAAGUCAUGAACUCUCACUUUCCCCACACAGAACUCCAUUUGCAAGAUUUUCACCCACAUUAUCUGUGCCUCAUUACAGACUCAAAGUAUCCUCAUCAUCACAUGGACUUUCACCUAUUUUUCUGAACAAUUCCUUGGUUAUUUCCUUGAAUAUAGCAACCUUGGUUAUAUUCCUUUCUAACCCUUCCUCAAUUAUUUAUAUUGUAAAUAUGUGGAAUAGAAACGUGUGGUACUCCACUAGUUACAUCACCCAAUCUGAUAAAGGUCAUUUCUAUAUGAUACCUAUUUUUGAGAUAACACAUUUCCUCCAAUAUUAAAAGCUCCUUAUUUUUGUAUCAACGAAUUAGCUGUUAUCUUGUCAAAUGUUUGUUGGCAGUCCACAUGUAUCACAUCAACACGAGUGGCAUAGUGGCACACCGGUAGAGUUGCUGCCUUACUGCACCAGAGACCUAACUACGGGUGCUGUCUAUGUGGAGUUUCUAUGUUCUCCCUGUAACCACAUAGGUUUUCUCUGGAUACUCCGGUUUUCUCCCACAUUCCAAAGACAUGCAGGUUAUUUGGCUUCUGUAAAUUGUCCCUAGGGCGCAGGAUAAAACUUGUUCUAGUGAUCGCUGGUUGGCAUGGACUCGGUGGGACGAAUGGCCCGUUUCCACACUGUCUCAGAACUAAAUUAAUCCACUGGCACCCAUCUUUCUGCUCUGCUUGUCAAUCCUCAAAAAACGAGCAAAUCGUGAUUUGGCUUUCAACCACCUUGUUUUGAUCAGGUCCAAAUUAUUAGUUAUUUGUUCUUUGAUUGUUGACGCAAACAUCUUUCCACCAACUAACUUUUUUUCCGCCUUUCUCCCUUCCUAAACAAUUGAGUCAGGUUCAUGGUUUUCCAAUCCACUGGUACUCACUGCGAACUUGAGAGUUUUGAAAGUUUCAACCAGUGGGUCUAUCAUCUUUGUAGCCACUUGCAAAAUACUUGUUUCCAGAUCUAUGCCAUGUACUUGGCACUUAAUAUCAACAAGCAUAGGUAAUUAAUUUCUUUGGGAGUAUUUCUCAUAUCUUGUCCAAAAUCGUACGAAAAAUAUUUGCUACUUAAAUACUUUUAAUUAAUUUUAAAUGUCAGAUCCAUGAGCAGAAUUUGAAAAUGGAAAUGAAACCACCAUAUUGUCAGGAAGAAAUAAAUAAAUUGUAACCAUUAACAAUACCUUUUCUCUUGUAAUGGAUGACUGCACUUUUAGCUUUCAAAUGAAAUAUUGUUGAAAUAUUAUUAUCUCGCAGAGAUCUAUAAAUUCUCUUAAUAUGACCACAUGCAGAUUGCUAGGCCCAAUUUCUAAUAAAUGUCCAAUUCCUAUGGUUAAAAGUUACUUUACUACUUAUUCUGGUCCAAGUGUGAUUUAAAACAAAGGUCUGUAUAUGCAUACUUAACCAACCUU